GACGAACGCUGGCGGCGUGCUUAAUACAUGCAAGUCGAACGAAAAGGCCUCGUUCUUGCUGCACUCGAGUUACGAACGGAUGAGUAACACGCGAGUAACCUGCCCUUCUCUAUGGGAUAACUUCAGGAAACAAGGGCGAAUACCUAAUAGGAGCUCCUUCGACAUGCAUGGGUCUGUAAAGAUUCGGGGGUUUGCGGUGGAUUCUCGGCUUAUCAGCUUGUUGGUGGGGUAGUGGCUUACCAACGCCUUGACGGGUAGCCGCACGGUGGAGGUGAUAGGCGACAUUGGGUCCGAGAUACGGCCGCGACUGCUACGGUAGGCAGAAGUGCGGAAGCUUGCCCAAUGGGUGGAAGCCUGAUGCAGAAAGGCUGUGUGCCGUAUGACGGUGUUAGGGUUGUAAAACGAUUUCGCAAGUGACGAAGCUUUGUGUGACGGUAGUGGGUCAAGAAGCCCCGGCUAACUACGUG
rnacentral:rRNA from 1 species